UACAGAGGUCUCAACCGUUGUUCGGAUUCAUUGGGCGUAAAGGGUGCGUAGGCGGUCGGGUAAGUCUGACGUGAAAUCUUCAAGCUCAACUUGGAAACUGCGUCGGAUACUAUUCGGCUAGAGGAAUGGAGGGGAGACUGGAAUACUUGGUGUAGCAGUGAAAUGCGUAGAUAUCAAGUGGAACACCAGUGGCGAAGGCGAGUCUCUGGACAUUUCCUGACGCUGAGGCACGAAAGCCAGGGGAGCAAACGGG
rnacentral:rRNA from 1 species